CAGAGACAUUUUACCACUGAGCUAUAUCCCCAGUCCUUUUUAUUUUUUGAGAUAGGGUCUCACUAAGUUGCUGAGACUGGCCUCAAACUUAGAAGCCUCCUGCUUCAGCCUCCUAAAUUGCUAGGAUUAGAGACAUGCAUCAAUGCACCCAGCUCAAAAUUUUCAGUAAUUGGGAAACUGUCUUAAGCUGAGCACAGAAGGUAAUAAAGACUAGUUUUAGGAAUUAAUAGCCAGGUGGAGCUUUGGACUGUGCCUUAUGACUUAAGAGUGGGUCAUAAUAAAUUUUAAAAAUCCUGAGAAAAGCCCCAUUAAGAUUUACUACCCAGGUUCUUUGGGGCCACUGCUGUCACUGAGUAAGGUCUUGUUGAUGAUGGGAGGAUUAUAAGCCUUUUGACUUGGCCCCAUUCCAGGAACAUUAAAAUUAAACUUCAGCUGGUCCAGGUAUGAGAAUUUUCAGAGGUAAGGUAGGUGGUUGAUAAUGUAAGACAGUUGGCAUAUCUGAUUCUGGAAAUCCUAGCUUCUUACCUCCCUUAAUAUUUCAGAAACCUGUUAGUUCUUUGAGAACCCCCAAUUCCCAACCCCACAGAGGGCUCUUGUCAUUCCAUUCCUCAUCAACCUCUAA
rnacentral:lncRNA from 1 species